GGCCUGUUGGUGUAGGGGUAUGAUUCCUGCUUUGGGUGCAGGAGGUCCCGGGUUCAAAUCCCGCACAGGCCC
rnacentral:tRNA from 1 species